UUUUUUUUUUACUAGUUUUAAGGGUGUACUUGCUGCUUUUUUCCUGCAGGCGGAGACAUUGUGUUGGAAAUAACCCGUGAAUGUACCCACAAGCGUUCAGUUCAAGCACAGCAGGACUUUCCGGUUCCGAUUCUGGGUUGCUUUUGCGAGUUUAUGCAGAGGGCAACUAAGGAUAUACACUACACGUCCACUGGAAGCCGAUGGUAAACAGGAGGGUGCCUUCUGAGGUGGAGAAGUGAAGCACAUAGCACAACAUCCUACAACAGCAACUUGAAACCUUUCAUGAGCUCUCAUUCAUAAUUUUCUCAUUGCUUUCCCUUCCCCACUGCAAAUUUCACGUAAAUCAGUUGACUCUAAUGCUUUUCCCCAACUCGAUCACUGGGGAAAUCAGAAGUUUAGAACAAUAUUCCUGCACAGGAGCCGGGGAAUACGGAGAUGCUGACAAAGCAGGGCUAGAACGCAGCAGUAAGGAUAGCAGAGAGGGACAGAAAGCUAUGACCAGCCCUUCCUUUGGCUCCUUGCUCCAGAGAUGGCACCAAAGCACCAGCAUGCAUGUCAGACUUUCAAUAUUAUCAAUUAAUGGCAGGUUGAUCAGGACGAAACUCCAUCUUUACCUCCAUUCUCAUUAACUUCCUCCCCUUAUUUUAUCUUUUGUUUUUCCUGUAAUUGAGAAGGUACUUGUAGUUAGAUUUAGAGCCACAUAGCUCAUAGUGAUCUCAUUUCUUGAUCCCCUAUUAUAUCUACAAAGUUCUUUUGUCCAGAUAAGCUAACUUAUAUGCAUGUCCUGGGUUAGAACUCUGAAAAGCCUCAGAAUGGGUGUGCUUCAACACAAUACUACUAUCUUGACUCACAUAGAUGUUCAUUUAUAAAGAUUCAUUUAUGUUCAUUUUGCGUUUUGUCUUAGAUUUGAUGGAUUACCACAGUGGCUGCACUGGAUUUGAAUUGUGCUUCAAGAAUAUCUCCUUGGGAGAUGACAGAGAGUAGGAGAAGCGUCUCAUCACGUGCUGGCUCUAUGCCCAUAGGCGAAACCAGCUUUCAAUCCCUGUCAGAGAAGCUCCUUUUGACAGUGUGCAGCAGUUACUGCAGAGACUUACAACUUGUCAAGAUGCAGAGAACAAAUGUCUGUGCAGUGCUCAGCCACAGCUGACUCCAAAGCUCCAGGAUGUUGUAUAAGAGGAGGAGACAGGAUUAAAUGCCUGGGGUCAGAAAGGACUGCUAUGAGACACUGUCUUCUGACGUGCCAUGCCUGGUGCAGUGAUAAACUCACAGCCUAUACGAAUGCUUACACAGAACUGCACAAGUUCAAGCCAGUCCCUAUUGCAGCAUCAAGGAGAGAGAACCCCCGAGGCCUUCCCUACUGAUUGAGAAACUGUUAGCAGUUGGUGGUGACUGAGAGGGGUGCAUGCCAUAUGGUAGGUAUGUAAGUAUGCUUGAACACUUGUGGAAUUUUUGAGACAGGUGGUCAAGCCCAGCCAAAAUAUAUGUGUCUGUAUGUGUCUAUGUGAGUGCUUGAUUUCUCGCUUUCUUUCUCUUCUUUUUUCUCUGGCGCACAAAGAGUUAACAAGUUCCAAGCUUUUUGCCUGGCUAGGGAGGGGCCCUUGAGACAGAGAGAAAUGAAGCCUUUUUGGUAAUUCCCUUGCUGUUACCAGUUUUAGUAAUUUUAUCAGAAGUAAGCAGAUUUUAAUGACAGAAUAGCAAAAUAGUUAAAUUUCCAAAGGCCAUCAACUUCUGACCCCCAGAACAGUAAGAGAGUUACAAGGCCAGAGAUCAUCAGUCUUUAGCCUUAUUUCGAUGCUGUGCCCCUCUUCAGUUCCUAAUCUCUUGCUAGGCCUGACACCCCACCCCACCCCCAGCAUGGCACAUCACCUCUCUCAGCAAGUUUUCUCCCUGUUCCAGGGCUUUGGGUCAACAUCCUCUAGGUGCAGUUCUAUAGAAGGUAUCUUCCCUUUCCUCCUCUCACACUCAGAGAGCCUCUCAUUCUUAAGUCCAUUAUAUUCUAGCUCCCCUUAGCUAGCCUCCACUUCUUCAGUAAAUCUUGUAUUCCUCAGAAGAUCUCUAGCCGUCCAAAGUAUGAUGCUGAAUGUUGGUGCUGGGGAUAAGACCUCUCAUUUGUUACUGUUGGAAUAUGCAAAAUAGUAAUUACUUUGGAAGAAUUUUGGCAGAUUUUUACAAAGAUGAACAUUGUCUUAGUAUAGACUCCAAUUAUACUCUUUGGUUGGUAUUGGGCCAACAGUGUU
rnacentral:lncRNA from 1 species